UACGAAGGGGGCUAGCGUUGCUCGGAAUCACUGGGCGUAAAGCGCACGUAGGCGGCUUUUUAAGUCAGGGGUGAAAUCCUGGAGCUCAACUCCAGAACUGCCUUUGAUACUGGGAAGCUUGAGUCCGGAAGAGGUGAGUGGAACUCCGAGUGUAGAGGUGAAAUUCGUAGAUAUUCGGAAGAACACCAGUGGCGAAGGCGGCUCACUGGUCCGGUACUGACGCUGAGGUGCGAAAGCAUGGGGAGCGAACAGG
rnacentral:rRNA from 1 species